UACGGGGGGGGCAAGCGUUGUCCGGAAUCAUUGGGCGUAAAGCGCGCGUAGGUGGCCUCAUAAGUCCGCUGUGAAAGUCCAAGGCUCAACCUUGGAAAGCCGGUGGAUACUGUGAGGCUAGAGUACGGAAGAGGCGAGUGGAAUUCCUGGUGUAGCGGUGGAAUGCGUAGAUAUCCGGAGGAACACCGGUGGCGAAGGCGGCUUCCUGGACCGACACUGACGCUGAGGCGCGAAAGCUAGGGGAGCAAACGGG
rnacentral:rRNA from 1 species